rnacentral:rRNA from 1 species
GAGUAGCAAUACUUGAUGGCGACCGGCAAACGGGUGAGGAACACGUACACAACCUUCCUUCAAGCGGGGAAUAGCCCAGAGAAAUUUGGAUUAAUACCCCAUAAUAUAUUUGAUAAGGCAUCUUAUUAAUAUUAAAGCUUCGGCACUUGAUGAUGGGUGUGCGGCUGAUUAGAUAGUUGGCGGGGUAACGGCCCACCAAGUCUACGAUCAGUAGCUGAUGUGAGAGCAUGAUCAGCCACACGGGCACUGAGACACGGGCCCGACUCCUACGGGAGGCAGCAGUAAGGAAUAUUGGACAAUGGACGAAAGUCUGAUCCAGCCAUGCCCGCGUGAAGGAUUAAGGUCCUCUGGAUUGUAAACUUCUUUUAUAUGGGACGAAAAAAGGGCAUUCUUGUUCACUUGACGGUACCAUAUGAAUAAGCACCGGCUAACUCCGUG